GGACUGGCAAGAGUAAGAGAGAGUUUAGAGAGAGGCUAGAGAGAAGAGAUAUUGAUGGUAAAUCAACCGACAGCUAUAACUCCACCUUCCACCGUUGGAUCAGCAUGAUAUUCGGAUUCUGAACGGUGGAGAUCUGAAACAAACAUUUGGUAUAGAAGUUGUGUAUCUCGUACAGUAGGUCUGCAAGUUUGAGGAGGGACCACCGGUCUGGUGCAACAGCAGUACCAGGGGAGCACGAGUAGAGCUUCUAUUGCAGUAAGGAUGUCAUACCAACAAGGUGCCUAGAAAACCCGAUACAUGGGAGCCUACUUUUGCAAGGAAUCAUGUAGUUGCAUUCUGAAUCAUGAUAUAUUUUAUAUGAAUCAAUGUACUGAAUGUAUAACUAUUAUUAGAUCCUUUUAGAUUAAAUUCGUGAUGACUAUUUGUAGGAUAUAAUACAAACUCAUGACUAUACAUAUAUAUUUUAAAUGCGAACU